GACGAACGCUGGCGGCGUGCUUAACACAUGCAAGUCGAACGGAAAGGCCCUGCUUUUGUGGGGUGCUCGAGUGGCGAACGGGUGAGUAACACGUGAGUAACCUGCCCUUGACUUUGGGAUAACUUCAGGAAACUGGGGCUAAUACCGGAUAGGAGCUCCUGCUGCAUGGUGGGGGUUGGAAAGUUUCGGCGGUUGGGGAUGGACUCGCGGCUUAUCAGCUUGUUGGUGGGGUAGUGGCUUACCAAGGCUUUGACGGGUAGCCGGCCUGAGAGGGUGACCGGCAACAUGGGACUGAGGAACGGACCAGAAUCCUAACGGGGGCAACCGGUGGGAAUAUUGCACAAUGGGCGGAAGCCUGAUGCAGCAACGCCGCGUGCGGGAUGACGGCCUUCGGGUUGUAAACCGCUUUCGCCUGUGACGAAGCGUGAGUGACGGUAAUGGGUAAAGAAGCACCGGCUAACUACGUG
rnacentral:rRNA from 1 species